AGGGACUAGGUUAAAAAAACUUUAAGUUUCCAAAACUUGAGAUGGGGAGAUGUUCUUCGUUCCUG
rnacentral:tRNA from 1 species